AAUAGAGGUGUUUCUGAGAAGUAUCGAAAGCUUGUGUCUGCAGUUGUUGAAUAUGGUGGUAAACGAGUUAGAGGAAGUGACCUCUUUAGUCCCAAAGAUGCUGUGGCUAUUACCAAACAGUUUCUCAAAGGAUUAAAGGGAGUAGAAAAUGUGUAUACACAGCAUCAGCCUUUCCUACAUGAGACC